rnacentral:rRNA from 1 species
UAAAGAAAAAAAACAACACGCCCGAUCUCGUCCGAUCUCGGAAGCUAAGCAGGGUCGGGCCUGGUUAGUACUUGGAUGGGAGACCGCCUGGGAAUACCAGGUGCUGUAA